UACGGAGGGUGCAAGCGUUAAUCGGAAUUACUGGGCGUAAAGUGUGCGCAGGCGGCCGCGCAAGUCGAGUGUGAAAGCCCCGAGCUUAACUUGGGAAUUGCGCUCGAAACUACGUGGCUGGAGUGUGGCAGAGGAAGGUGGAAUUCCACGUGUAGCGGUGAAAUGCGUAGAGAUGUGGAGGAACACCGAUGGCGAAGGCAGCCUUCUGGGCCAACACUGACGCUCAUGCACGAAAGCGUGGGGAGCAAACAGG
rnacentral:rRNA from 1 species